rnacentral:rRNA from 1 species
AGUUUGAUCNUGGCUCAGAAANAACGCUGGNGGCAGGCCNUAACAAAAUCCAAGUCGAGCGCNCUUUCGGGUGAGCGGCGGACGGGUUAGUAACGCGUGGGAANANACCUUUCUNUACGGAANAGCCUCGGGAAAUUGAGAGUAAUACCGUAUNCNCCCUUCGGGGAAAGAUUUAUUGGAGAAGGAUUAGCCCGCGUUAGAUUAGGUAGUUGGUGGGGUAAUGGCCUNCCAAGCCUACGAUCUAUANCUGGUUUGAGAGGAUGAUCANCAACACUGGGNNUGAGACACGGCCCAGACUCCUACGGGAGGCAGCAGUGGGGAAUNUUAGNCAAUGGGGGAAACCCUGAUCUAGCCAUNCCGCGUGAGUGACGAAGGCCCUAGGGUCGUAAAGCUCUUUCANCUGUGAAGAUAAUGACGGUAGCAGCAGAAGAAACCCCGGCUAACUCCGUGCCAGCAGCCGCGGUAAUAC